UAUGAUUAAUAUUGUUAAUAAUACACAUUAUGAUAUACAUAUAUGCGUUUGACGAUUGACUAGUAGAUUAGCAAUUCAAUCGCGAGCGCACUGCGAUCGAUUUUCAAAUGUAUAGAUAAACGCAUGCUGAAUGCCUAGAUACAAUGUCUAGAUACAUCGUUUGACGCUUGCAAGAAAUUUUAACGGUACUUCGAUCAUCGAUGGUCACCUGUCGUAUCUCAGGUGUCCAUGUCUUCGACAACUGCUUCUUUCUACGAAGAAAUUAAAAAUGAAACAAUUCUUAAAUUCUUUAACACUACCAAUAAGUCGAAGACGUAUAAAACUUGACAAUUAAUAGAGAAAAACAAGUGGGUGCGCAUAAUUCGUGCGGUUGCAGCGCUUAGCGGGAUCCGCAGAGAGCGAAGAAAAUUGAGAAACGCGGGUAUAUAGGUACGUAUAGGGAAUUGCGGGUGGUUGAGACGAUUGCGGGAUGGGUGGAAGGGCGCGGUGUGGAGUUGUGGAGCAGCGGAGUGGGAGCGGCGCGAAGUGGGGAAGGCGGCAAUGCGGCGGUAGUUGCGCCGCGGACCAUCGCGUGUCGGAUCAGCUGUGAACUGGCAACCCGAGUCAGCUGACUGGCCGCGGCCCCUCCGCUGCGACAAUCGAUAUCCCGCUCUGCCCUCGUGCUCAGUCCUACCCGUGGCUGCGUUUUCCCCUUUCGAGAUACACAUCGUCCACCCCCUCGGUGCUAGUGAAUCUUCCUUUUACGAAUCGACUUAUCACCACCCACUCGUUCGAAGGUAACAAGAAGCAUCACGCGUGUGAAUUCCUUAACCUUUUCAAGAAAAGUGUGCCAAGGAAUUCCGAUCAUGGGUGAGUGAAUGCUUUAUUAGGAUAUUCGUUGUUGUUUGGGGGUGACGUUUGUCGAUUAUGGCUGGUAUAUAGUUUAUGCAAUCUUCGAAAGAUUGUAAGCGAAAUUACGUUAUGGAGCGAUGGUAUGGAGAGUUUGAAGAGUGGACGAUGCAGCGAGGACGAAAAAGAGUGUGGUGAAAAUUUGAUAUUAUAGAAAUGAUCGAAUCAUUUCCAUUGUUGUUACACGUCCACAUCGUGGUAACGAAAACCCGGGAAAGCAGCCUGUCCUAAUAACAUCUCGUCUGAGCUUUAAUCUGCCAAACUAUCAUAGAAGUCUCGUUUAAAGCAUAGCAGACGCGAAAACCUCGUUUAUACCCGACCCUUGCCCUUCUGAAAUUGCGAGCAAGGGCGAAAAGUAGAUCAUGACCUUGACUUGCCGCAUCCUUCCGACUUAUCCACUCCGGGCUACGCGGGCUUAUCUCGAAGACGCGGUAACGAUGCAUUUUGCGGAACACGGAGCAAACUGGCGAACGUGCGCCGGGAACCAACCGUCAGAUAAAUUUUUCCACUAUAGCUCCAUCGUGAGCAGAACGGACCCGUUAGCGAUCGACUGAUGCGGAAAAAUACGAGGACCUUCGAUUUCCUUCUUGUUUCGAGUGAUCGGAAAUGGUCGACCGAGAUUUCCACGCACGGACAACCGGUUCUGAGAAACGCGGGUGAAUGUAUAAUUUCGGUUGUUAGAAAGGAGAACCUGGGAAAAAUGUCACAAGAAUUUUCCCUUUUUUUUUUUAAUGAGAUAAAGUAAAAGCGCAGCACACGAGAUCUGUUCUUAUUUACUGGACUUUGUUAUGAGUUUAUAUACUUUUAUAAGCUUGUAUAAUAACAUAGAUAUUUUUUAUAUAUCCUGUAAUUCGAUAAUUUGGAUCUUGUCUUUUUUUGAAAAGAAUUAUGAUCGAUUCCUAUUUGUUACUUUGACCCGUAAGCUAGAAAGCAAGAAACAUUUGUUAAAUAUAGGCAUAUGGAAGCUUUCGAUCAUGGGAGAAAGUAGAUGGGACUUUAUGGUAAAACUGAGAAGAAGGCGUUUUUUUUAUGCAAAACCUAAUUGUUAAUAUGGAAAACAAAUUUCUAUACGAGAGGGUGAACUUCUUUGAAGUAAUUUAUAUUUACCAAACAUUAGAUAAAAUAAGUUAUAUAUAUAACGUUUCUUUAGAAGAAGUUGCUUACAUAGGAAAUUGGUUUUAGUAUGGAACGUUAAAACUUCUCACUCUACCGGUUUUAUUUCGCUUUGUAAAAGUAAUUACUUAGUUAAAAUAUUCCAUGUUUUUUCUACUUGGUGCUUUGACGUAGAAAAAUGGAGUUUCUUCGAACGCAAAUAUACUAAACGUACGAAAGAAAACGCUUUCAAUCUUGCCUAUUGUUCGGUUAAUUAAAAAGUGAGAUCUCGUAGAAAAUUGCGCAUUUCGUGUUUUCUGUAUCUUUCAAAGGUAUUUACAAAAUAUAUUUACAAAAAUACCGUUCAAUCGAGCAUAUCUUUCUUAAAUAAAUCAACGUACUUGUACAUAAAUCUAUUUUUCGUGUACUUUAAUUACUAACUUUAUACAAACAACGUAUACUCAGCAGAAAGUCAAAGAACGAAAUGAAACACGAUGUCACGACAGUACUAGUAAAGUUAAAUUAAGCAUUCUGGUAAUCGGGACAAACUCAAACUUCGACCUUUUGAACUUUUCGUAGUUUCGCCGUAAUUGUACUUUUAAUUAUCUAUUCUAUUUCAAAUAAAAUAACAUAUUAGUUCGGAACAGUGUUUUUAAGCAUCUUUAAUUACAUGCUAUCAUACAUUUUUCUGCAGUUGUAUAAAAUAUCAUAGUUUUAUAACGCUAGUACUAAUUAUAGCUUGUGAUAACGAUAGCACGUAAUUCUAACAGUUCCGAAUGCGCUAACCUAACGCAAAUCUAAUUGAAACUGUUGUAUAGCGAUAUCAAUCGAGGAUUAAUAAAACACCAUAUUUCUGAGUGACAUUUCAUUAUACCUAACUCAGGUUACAGAGUGCAGAAUGUUUAACACUUUUCAGAAAGAUCAAUAUCGCUAUCUUCCGUUUAUCGUUAAAUAAACGACCACCCGGGCACGAGGGACACCAUAUGGCUAAGCAUCGUUUUCCAAUUUUCAAAACUUUGCGACCUACUUCAAUUACCAGACCUAGGUGCUUCGUUUACAUGUAAUCGCUUGCUCGCUUACUCGAAUUUAAGCAACGAAGAAGGCGUUCGAUUAACGACGUCGCGCGAGCUGAGCCGAUAACAAGAUUUCUGAAAAUCUGUUUAGGCCAUCGACGAAAUUUCAGUCGUACGAGUUGUAGUGGUUUUAAAUUAAUCGAAGUACUUCAAGUUUCUCGUAACGGAGUCGCCGAAAAGUAGAACGAGUUAUCGGAAGGUCACCAGGGACUCUUUAAUUCGAAUGAACUAUGACAUUGGAAUUGUCAAGGGAAAAGAGUCGUGAACCAUUUAGGUGCGGUUUUAAUUAAUUUCAGACUCGAUUGGUUAAAGGUGAGUGGCGGAAGGAGUGCCGUCAUUUUGGCAGUUUUAUCCUAUUAGGUUGGCAACUAAGGGAUUGCGGAUUUUGUCAUUAGGUGAUAUUGACAAAAUCCGCAAUCACUUAGUUGCUAAUCCAAUAUAUUUUAUCUGACAAACGAUUUUUCGACACACGCAUAUAUAAACACACAUACAUACAUUUGACAUAGUACACGAGUAAUAGAAAUUUGAAUAAUUCCACGAUAUCAUAAAAAAUAUGCUCUUAGAAUAAAACGGAAGAGGAGGUAGAUAGUUCUACGUAGGUAGAUCCAUCACGAUGUGUAAAUUGAUCGUGAUUAAAAUAUAUUUGCACCAGGGAACAAAUUAUCUUUCAUUUAGUACGUAAUCAUGGCUGCAUGAACAGUUAAGAACCCCUAGCUCGAAUAUAAAUCACCCUGACGCACAAGUAACUCUUCUCCUCCCUAUAAUCAGCACCACCUCCAAAUAAAAAGGAACAAGUACGAUGACCGUACACGGAAGUCGAAGGCGAAAACAAGCGGAGCUUUUAACUACGUAAUUAUCCGGACAAUCGGGCGCUUCCUGGUGCGCGCGAGCGCCACGAAGACGAGGAGGAAUGUCGCGCGCGGAUUGGUUGCAGCAGCCUCCGGCGGCGGUGUUCGCCUCCGCUCACGCUCGACAGGAUUACGCGAAGGAUGCGAUCGAUGGACGGAAACGGCGCCCGAGAGGCGGCCGUGCACGUCGACCAGUCGCUGUUUCUCGCCAUCAACUUUUCCUACGUUUGUUUACUCGCUCUUCCUUCGCUUCGUGGCCCAGCGGCCAUUAACUGUCCCUACGCCAUUUUCCGGUGUGAACCAGAAACUCCCCUUUUCUAUGUACACUCCCGGCCAUAAGUCGCUAUAUUAUACGGUCAAUUUAUGUGGAAGCUAUGAAACCAAGCCGAUAUAUACCUUGCACAGGAUGUUCUAUAUAACUGUAAUCGCUUCGAUAACUUUGGAAGUAGUAAUUUUAGCGAAAAUUGAUUUACGGCGAGUAGCAAAUUUGCGUUAGUAUUAUCUACGGCUUUGGUUAUAUAUAAAAUUUCACUUCUCUUCUCAUUUACAGAAUUAAGGAUAGACGAUGAAACUUUCAAAAGAAUAGAAACGACACGAUAAAGUUAAAUUCCACUCUAUGCUGUAAAUUACCCUUUCGAAUCGCGCUAUUUUCAUUCUCUUGGUGCGUGACAAACAUCCAUCUUGAUAAAUAUUUUAUUCCAAAUUACAGCAGACAUUUGUAUGAUUUAUAGACGUACAAAUUUAUUAUACUGACUUAGGACCGUGAGUGUUCCUAUGUAUGGGGCGUAGUUUCGUUCGAUGACGCGGUUUCGUAAACAUGGUGAGAAGUACAUACAUGUAUACGUGCAAUGCGGACGGUGGAGCUGGAUGUGCGGCUGGAAUUCCGUAGGGUAAGUUGUUUAUAUGGAGCAGAAAGUGUCGAUGGGGUUGUAGAGAGAACGAGCGAUUGAGUUCUUGGGAAAAUGCAAGGAUCAAGCAGAGAAUAAUGAAACGUAAGAAUGGAAACCGAGGAAGAGAGAUAUUUGGUAUGCGAAUCAAGAAUUAGAGCGGAAAAGUCAGAAACUGAAGUGGAAAAAUAAACAAUGAUGGUGGAAAAGUAAGCAUGCUGGUAAAAUAGGUCAUCUCCACGAUUUCAGCGCAAGAUGAAGGGUACAUAUGUAAUGUGCUCACUCCUUUAACCCCUUUGCCACAGCUGUCUCGUCUGAACAGCAGUUACAUAAUACGAUUUUACGAAAUAUGUGUUGUAGACGAUGGUUUUUUUUAUUUAUAUACAUGAAAUUAUUUAUUUAUUUAUGAGGGAAUAAAAGAGUGACAGAAUCCGUGUGAGAAUGCGCGUGUGUUACAACGUAAUGCAUAUAUGUAUUUGUGUUUUUCCUAUCCUAGACGUCCUUCAAUGGAGCUGCAUAAUAUCGCCGGUGUAUUUAAAUAGCGAAGCUUGACAGAGACGAGCAAACUGCUGAUAAACAUCGAUAGAGGUGCUAUCAACAUUAAAGAUGCUCUUUCUGAUGUUCAAUGUUCAUUUACAUGCAGGGACAUGAAUUCAUUUUAAGCGAUAUGUGCAAAUUUCAAUGCAAUAUGUCAACGUCAUGUACAAUCUCGAAAGUUUCCGCUUCGAAGAUAUCCAAAGAUGGCCUUAUAAAAUUCUACAUUUAUCGUUGCUUGUGUGUGACAAGUAUCAAUAUAAAUUGCUGUUAAUCAAUAUACUGUUCCAUUUUAAUCUAAAUAACUUCAAGCACCAUUUAAAUCGAUCUGUCUUUCGUCACUGGAUCCUUCAGAACUACGGACUCGUAGAGCAACUGUCUAUCGAAAUAAAUAAUCGUCGACUUAAUUGUCGUCGGCACAUUCAAAUGCUCGUCGAUAUUAAGGACCAGUAAAAGUCCAUCGUCAAUCAGAAUCAGAAACAAUUGUCACGUUACAUUACAUUCAAUCAUCACGUUCUUUAGCUUCGAUCUAUUCUUACACACUUUUUUCUUCGAAACAAUACAAGACAUUCUCUUAAGGAUCAGAAUUCCAGAGAUAUAUCGACGUAUUGUUAAUUUUAGUAGCAUUCCUUCUUCACGAUAAAAUGCAAAGUUGAUCGUAAGAUGACCUAAAUGGCGCUAUAUGAAGACCGGAAGUCCAUUAAUCGGCUCACGUUACGCCAUUUUUCGUCCUGAGGAACACAUGCGGGACGUCUCGAAAGGUUUCUGGUACGAAUGUUACGUCUCUAUUUGUACCAAGAGGAAGAAGCGAACGAUCGUAUCGAGUCUUUACUCGAUAGAUAAAGAGGAAAAAGAAGGAUCUCUCGAACGAAAGUGGGUUUGUCUAUCGUAACAGGGACGCGAUUUGAACGUGUAUACCGUCGAAUAUCGUCCAGUAUCGAUUCGAUGGAAACAUCAAAGUAACUGCUUAAUGGACGGAGAAUGGAAAGAUCGUUCUUUGAUAUUCCGGGUCUGUUUCGUUUCAAGGGAAAAACGCAGAAUGGCGAAGGGUUCUUUCUAGGUAUAACGCAAUUCAAGGAUUUCCGAGAUGAGAAUUUAGCGGAAAAUUCGUCGUGAAAGAAUCAUUGGCGAAUGGGAACAGACGGAUUUAUCGCAGUGAAAUAUAAUCUCUCAUUGCUGUCUACCUAUUUGAAUGGAUCGUCAAGAAUACCGAAUUCGCAUACUCUUCGUGCUAUUGUCGGUCAAUUGUGACGGCCACGUGUUUAGGAGUUGAAAAGAAACGAAAUUGGAGGAGGGACAGGAGACAAGAAUGUAAACAAUAAAGUCUUGGAGGACACUUUUCAAGCGGCGUUAAGAAUCUCCCAAGUGUUUUCCGGGAUGGUUGUCUGGUCUGUGUGAAAAAAUGCGAGGAUUCGCACGGGGGCGGACCUGGCGUUUUCAGGACCGAAGAAACCGUAAAGAAGAUGCGAUGUCAGGGUCGAUAGUCGGUUGAAGAACGAACGCGACACUGAAAUUCCUCCGGGAUGACUGCGUUUUAAUGGCGAUCGAUUCGAAAGUGAUCGAUUUGUUGGUAAUCGGGGAAAUAACCCGAGAAAACGAUCGUGCCCGUUAGAAACACGCGGAAGAUCGGACGAAACUAGGCCACGCAAACAGCGAUAUAUGCGACCUUUGCGUGUUAAGGACGAUCAAGGUCACCGUGGGGAAACCGUGAUUUCUCUAUGUCGAGACACCGUCGCCCAUCUAACAGAUGCAAUUAGUCGUAUGAUGCGAUAUGUGUGUUCACGGUUGAUCAAGAUAUCUAUAAAGCGGUGAGUCUCAUCUAUUUAAGCUUUAACCCUUCGAGUUUCUACGUUAAGAUGGACGCGAUAUUCUGCCUCGUUAGUCCAAUCAAAUAGAACCAUCGGGCUUUAUUAACUGAAGGGGCGCUGAAAUAAGAAGGUAGCAAGAACUCCGCUUUCCAGUAAUUAAACAUCCACGAUUUAAAUAUUGGAAUUAUUUCCCCAUUACAGUAAACCGUACAAUUCGAAUUAUCAUAAUUAUACAAAAUGAAAUCGACGUACAAGGCAUUCCACUAGCGAAUUCAAAAGAUAAUGCAUACGAUAAAUAGCAUACGAUAUUUCUUCUAUAAAACAAAACGUUUGGAAGGUUAUCGCCAAGUUAUCUUCUGCAAUUACAGUAGAGGAUUUCCCUGUGGUCAGAAGUGGGUGAGAAAAUUUUAUCCGCGGAACAUACGGGUCAAUAUUGGUCUACCAAUUAUUCCCCUAGGGGUAGAAUUCAAUUUCGCCGCGCAUUCUGCAUUGAAAUUUGGAUUUGAAACCGCGGUGUCGCAUAUUAAUUUUGGCUUCGAUCCCCCUGUUACGGACACGGACUAGCGACGUUUCAACAAGCACGGUUUCACGGCGAUCAAACAUUGACUUAACCUUAAUGCCUAUGUCGCAUACCAAGUUCCGGAAGAAACUGGAUGACAACGAGCGGCGUCGAUGCGUCGUUCGAUACACGUUUUAUUAUUCCACGUCCAGACUGUUCGUCCGAGUUCGCGACAGAAUUAAAUUGAUGAAACGAAGACGAUGAAAUUUACCAAGUGACAGAUGCAGAGGAUCUUGAAAGAUGAAAUUGACCUUCUGUGCCGUAGUUUGUUGGUUUUGGUAAAUCUCGAACUUGUUAAGUCAUUUUUAUUUGAAUCAGUGUCUUGACAGUCGCUGACUGCGUUCUUUUUUCUACGUGAAUGCGUACAGAAUGUAUGAAGAAAAAAUUUGUUUUCUUUUUUCUUUUAAUAGAAUCAUACGUCUUUUAACAUCUUUCUUUUCUGCAGAAAGAUCUUCAGUUUGGAAGAGAGAUAUUUUAAUUUCGAUAAUUCCGAUACAAAACAGAAAAAUUCUACCAGAAGCAUCUUAAUCUUCAAACGAUAUUCACUUCGACACAUUCCACUACUCUGUCGCAAUCCAUAAAUUCCGCCAAAGCUUCACCCCGUUUCCCUCGUUCCUUCUCCUUGGCAAUUUUAACAUUCACAAAAUUCCAUCCUUUAAAAGUUCUCCGUACCAAUCGUCGAAUGGUCCUUGCCAUGGCUGUAUUUCGUAAAAUAAAGGAAAGAGAGGGAAUAAAUCAGCGCAUGAAGCAUAGAACAACGCGGAAGGGAUUCGCAGCAAUGCAUGGUCGUUCAUGACGGAAGUUUCGAAACACCGGCAUGUACGUACGUACAUAUAUUCGCUCCCUCGAUCGUUCGCAUAUACCACGGUCGUGUGAUUCGAGUGGACACGUCACAUAUCCGUGAAAUUAUUAUGUCAAACGCUCGCAAGUAGAGAUAAGCUGGCGUACAUACAAUUUUUUAACCGUUUGAGAAAUCACCGAAAAGAAUUGGCCAAUGUUGAAUAGCGUUAAGCGUUAGAAGUAAAAUAGUAGAGUAGUAAAAGUAGAAUUAUUUUAAGAAAACUGUGAUAAACUGUUGUUUAUCAUUGUUGGAGGUAAGAUUCGAGACGAAAAUCGAUUAGCAAAAUACCUCGUCCGUAUAGAAAAAUCUCAAAGGAGAAGACACAAAGUGUGAAAAGUAAACACAUAUCUACAUAAGCGUUUGUACGAUGCAUCGUUCUGUAAAAAUUAACGAUCCAUUUAACAGCGGUGGGCAAUCAAUUUCUAAAAUCCUUCGCGUCACUGACACACGGAGACAAAGAAUCUUACGACUGUUGCAUUUGAAUGUUUUCAAUCCGUCUGGGCCGUAUGGACCCGUUUUAAGACGCGUCUCCGGUACGAUACGAGCAACCAAGAAUUUUAUGCCUCGGCCCGACGACACAAACGGGUUCGAGCGUUUCUAGCUUUGUAAGAAGCACAUCCUUGCGAAUAGCAGGGGACAUAAACGAGGCGUGAGCGAAUACUCUUUUCUUGGAGAGGCCCUAUAAGCGACUGGACAAUAAUGCCACUCUGCGUUCUGAGAAUCGCUUGCCAGCGUUUCGAUGGUAAUGGCACAGCUUUACCUUUGUCUUCGGUUUGAUUUCCAACGUAGUUUUCAUCCCAUCCUAUAUUAUUUCACACUGUGGAUAACGGAAUUAGUUGGACGCCCAAAGAUAUGAAAUAUAAAAUUGUCAAGAUUAAAAGACUUAAAAGCACGUAUGACUGAAAUCUCGGUAAUCCAAAAUUUGUAAACAUUAAACAUUCAAAAUUGAUAGGGCUUGCUAAUUUGUAAAUUUUAUACUAAAGAUUCGAAUCUCGAUAUCUCCAGAGCUCUGUUUAUCAAAUGAACGGUAAAUGUAACGAGGAAAAUCCACUGUAAU